UUUCUGCAGGAUCCUGGAACAUAAGGUAGGCUGGACAGGAAGGGUGUCACCUUCUGUAAAUUUACUAUUGUUUAGGAGAAUUCAAAGCAGAAGAAAGCAGGCCAUCAAAGGAACCGACGAGGACUAUUUCCCCCACCUUGUUCUGAGGGUUUAAAUUACUCUGGUAUUUUAAACGAGCUGCUUUUGAAAAAUAGGUUACUGCCAUUUAGUUGAUGACGGAAACAGAAGCCAAGAAGAGUGCAAAUUGUAAACUGACGUGCAUAAGCCAAACGUAUUCUCUCAAAGGACAACGUUCAAGACGCAGCUAAAGUCCCCACUCGGGCGGUAAGCGUGUUACAAAGAACUAGAUCUCUUUCUGGCAUCCGCAACUUGGCCGGAGUGACCACGGAGGAGUUGAAGAGCGCUGGAAACGCUAGGUUCCUCGCCGGUCACCUGAGGGCUGCGGCCUUGGGUCAGGUUCUUGGCUCCCAGCCACGCAUUCCAAGGUCACUGUCUCAACAAUUCCUGUGGAAUCUUGGGGGGAUGACCCUGUUAUGGGUUGAAUUGUGUUCUCUAAAAGGAUAUGCUGGGAGUCCUAACCCCUGGUACCUGCGCAUAUGACCUUAUUUGCAAAUAGGGCCUUCGCAGAUGUAAUCAAGUGAAGUUGAGAUCGUUGGGUGGGCCCUCAUCCAAUAUGACCAGUGACCUUACAAGAAGAUGGAAAUUUGCUCAUAGACAUGCACCGAGGGGUGCCAAUGUGAAGACACAGAAGGAAGAAGGCCAUACGAAGACAGAAGCAGAGAUUGGAGCCACGAGGCCACAAGCCAAGGAACGCCCGGGGCUACCAGAAGUGGGAAGAGACAAGGAAGCAUCCUUGUCUAGCGGCUUCAGAGGGAGCGUGACUUUGCCUGUGCCUUGAUUUUGGACUUCUACCUUCUAGAACUGUGAAACAACAAACUUCUAUUGCUUCGAGCCACCCAGUUUGGAGCACUUUGUUCGAGCAGCCUUCGAACACUAAUAUCAACUUCGGUGUCUGCUCAGGACAGAAUGGCGACCACGGAGAAUUCUGGACGGGGCGGAGGAAGAGAUUGCUCCCUUCUGUACUUUGAGCGGCAGCAAAGGGCUAUGACCAUUGCCCUCCUGGAUGCAGAAGGAGGCACUGGCCUCAUUAUAUGCAUACACCAUGACUGCUGUCUUAAACUCCAAUACUGCUGAACAAUUCAGAAAUAGAUCCAUUAUAGGUCUGCUUUAGCCCCAGGGCUUUAACACGGGUCACUAGAAAAUCCAAGAUUGCACAGUAAUUCAAACUCUUAAGAGGGAAAGGAAAAAAAAAAAUUCUCUUCAGCACUCCCCCCCCCCCCCCGCCCAGAGUCCCUCCCUCCAGCAUCACAGGAAGCCCCUCUUCAUUUCCGUAGUGCUUUAGAAUAAAUAGCUCUUAUGUUGAACUUGAAAUCUAAAUUUUUCGCCAGCUAUUAAUUGAUAAGAGAAGCUCGUUUUACCUCUUAUGCUCUGUAGUAAGAUUACGGUGUAAAUAAACUGGGUCAGGUUUAGCAGGAUGGAGGUGAACUGUUCUCUAAUUCCCCUUAAUCUCUGGUAAAGGAAUAACUAGGAUUUGAACGUCAACAUUCAAUAAGCAAUUAUGGCACUCCUUCAAGCACGAUCCAAAUUAGUCUGCUGUUCCCUCAAAUAGAAUCCAAAGGACUUCCAAACCGUGCUCUUCGAUUGCAACCUCCUUGUUUUGUUCUAACCGGUGAGAGGAGUCAGGAUUGCAGGAGGGAUUUGAUUUGAUUUAUAUUAAUUUUUAGAGUAUCAGGGAUCUCUUGUUUUACUUGAAACAGAUCAGGGAACGGGGUCAGUAAACAAGGGUUUUCUCGACUACUGAUCUCGACUACUGAUCACUCAGCAUUUCAUGAGGCUGGCUUCUAGCUUUCACAGUGCAUUAGAAUCAUUAUCUAAUUAUUAAUCUCACCCUAGAGUUCUGAGGAGCUUAUGACACCCGUUGAAGUUAAUGAAGGCUUUUACCUGUGGAUCUGGCACUAAAUCGCUCUGAUUGACCGAGUGCCCACAAUAUGGUAGGCACUGAUAGAAUUGACAGAGGGGAAAAAGAAUUAAACGGAAGGAAAUUAAGAAGAGGAAGAAGGAGAAGGCGUCAGAGAGGAGGAGGGGCGAGAAACCAAAAGGAGAUUGUAACUUCAAAACACCUCGUUAGGAAAAUGGGGCAGUUAAGGAAGAACUCACCAAGUAAUCUGCUUAAACUUUAAUUAAUUAUUCAUUUAUAUAUAUUUAUGUGGCACACUUUCUCUAGGGAAACCAAUGUGCUUUGCAAACAUAUUAAAUAAUUAACUCCCUCAAAUCUGAGUGGAAAGGGAGCAAAAUUACUCCAGAAAAGGACCUGUGGGUUGAUGAGUGAUGGAUGCGUCUCGCUUUGAAGAGGCGAUCCUGUGUGAUACCCACCAGAGACCGCAUAACAAAAGACCUCUUCUGGGGGGUAACUGUGGGUACUAUGGUGAUCCCUCCCCCCACCUUCCAGAAGAAGCAGCUUUUGCUUAUACAGAUAAUGAUGCUACGGAGAGAGACAAACAGGAAGACGCAUAAAUUGAUAUGAUACAGAAAUCCAGUAUAUUUUGAGGAAGGGUGCUAUUAGAAGAAAGUCAAAUGGAGUGCAUUUUUUAAUAAAAUACUGCCUUUGAGACAAAAGUUAAAGUUAGGACGU